rnacentral:rRNA from 1 species
GAUGAACGCUGGCGGCGUGCCUAACACAUGCAAGUCGAGCGAUCUUCUUCGGAAGAGAGCGGCGGACGGGUGAGUAACGCGUGGGUAACCUGCCCUGUACACACGGAUAACAUACCGAAAGGUAUGCUAAUACGAGAUAACAUACUUUUAUCGCAUGGUAGAAGUAUCAAAGCUCCGGCGGUACAGGAUGGACCCGCGUCUGAUUAGCUAGUUGGUAAGGUAACGGCUUACCAAGGCGACGAUCAGUAGCCGACCUGAGAGGGUGAUCGGCCACAUUGGAACUGAGACACGGUCCAAACUCCUACGGGAGGCAGCAGUGGGGAAUAUUGCACAAUGGGCGAAAGCCUGAUGCAGCAACGCCGCGUGAGCGAUGAAGGCCUUCGGGUCGUAAAGCUCUGUCCUCAAGGAAGAUAAUGACGGUACUUGAGGAGGAAGCCCCGGCUAACUACGUGCCAGCAGCCGCGGUAAAAC